rnacentral:ribozyme from 1 species
AAAACAGAAAAUAGGGGAAAAGGUUAGGAGAAAGAGAAGAAAAGACGGAAAAUUAGGGAAAUCUCUUCCAUGCAUGGUUCUCUUUUUUAAGGUU